CAGCCGCCGCGGGAACACGGAGGGAGCUAGCGUUGUUCGAAAUUACUGGGCGUAAAGCGCACGUAGGCGGCUUUGUAAGUCAGAGGUGAAAGCCUGGAGCUCAACUCCAGAACUGCCUUUGAGACUGCAUCGCUUGAAUCCAGGAGAGGUGAGUGGAAUUCCGAGUGUAGAGGUGAAAUUCGUAGAUAUUCGGAAGAACACCAGUGGCGAAGGCGGCUCACUGGACUGGUAUUGACGCUGAGGUGCGAAAGCAUGGGGAGCAAACAGGAUUAGAUACCCGCGUAGUCCCUGUCUCUUAUAC
rnacentral:rRNA from 1 species